AGUGAACGCUGGCGGUAGGCCUAACACAUGCAAGUCGAACGGCAGCACAGUAAGAGCUUGCUCUUACGGGUGGCGAGUGGCGGACGGGUGAGGAAUACAUCGGAAUCUACUUUUUCGUGGGGGAUAACGUAGGGAAACUCACGCUAAUACCGCAUACGACCUACGGGUGAAAGCAGGGGAUCUUCGGACCUUGCGCGAUUGAAUGAGCCGAUGUCGGAUUAGCUAGUUGGCGGGGUAAAGGCCCACCAAGGCGACGAUCCGUAGCUGGUCUGAGAGGAUGAUCAGCCACACUGGAACUGAGACACGGUCCAGACUCCUACGGGAGGCAGCAGUGGGGAAUAUUGGACAAUGGGCGCAAGCCUGAUCCAGCCAUACCGCGUGGGUGAAGAAGGCCUUCGGGUUGUAAAGCCCUUUUGUUGGGAAAGAAAAGCAGCAGGUUAAUACCCCGCUGCUCUGACGGUACCCAAAGAAUAAGCACCGGCUAACUUCGUG
rnacentral:rRNA from 1 species